AGGGCAUACGGCGGAUGCCUUGGCGCCAAGAGCCGAUGAAGGACGCGGUAAGCUGCGAAAAGGCAUGGGUAGGAGCAAGCAUCCUGUGAUCCAUGCAUAUCCGAAUGGGGCAACCCACCAUCAGUCAUGUGAUGGUACGAAAGAGGCAGACCUGGGGAACUGAAACAUCUAAGUACCCAGAGGAAAAGUAAUCAAUUGAGAUUCCCUAAGUAGCGGCGAGCGAAAGGGGAAGAGCCCAAACCAUGAAACUUCGGUUUUGUGGGGUUGAGGACCGGCAAAAAGAGGAAACUUCUUAGUCGAAUGGUUUGGAAAGGCCAUGCACAGAAGGUAAAACACCUGUAGGCGAAAAGAAGUCAAUCGGGCUGGUAUCCAGAGUACUGCGAGACACGUGAAACCUUGCAGGAAGCAGGGGGGACCACCCUCCAAGGCAAAAUACUACUUGGCGACCGAUAGCGCAUAGUACCGUGAGGGAAAGGUGAAAAGAACCCCGGGAGGGGAGUGAAAUAGAACCUGAAACCGUAUGUCUACAAGCAGUCGAAGCACCUUAAGAGUGCGACGGCGUGCCUAUUGAAGAAUGAACCGGCGAGUUAUGAGGUCCAGCGAGGUUAAGCAGGAAAUGCGGAGCCGAAGCGAAAGCGAGUCUUAACAGGGCGAAUAGUUGGACUGCAUAGACCCGAAACCACAGUGAUCUACCCAUGUCCAGGUUGAAGCACAGGUAAAAAUGUGUGGAGGACCGAACCUAUAUCCGUUGAAAAGGGUUAGGAUGAGGUGUGGGUAGGGGUGAAAUUCCAAUCGAACGUGGAGAUAGCUGGUUCUCCCCGAAAUAGCUUUAGGGCUAGCCUCAGGGUAAAGAUUGCAGGCGGUAGAGCACUGAUCAGGAGAGGGACCUACCCGGUUACCAAACCCAGUCAAACUACGAAUGGCUGCAAUUAUACCUGGGAGUCAGACUACGACUUAUAAGGGCCGUGGUCAAAAGGGAAACAGCCCAGAUCAUCAGCUAAGGUCCCAAAUGCCGUGCUAAGUGGCGAAGGAUGUGGCGUUUCAUAAACAACCAGGAUGUUGGCUCAGAAGCAGCCACCAUUUAAAGAGUGCGUAAUAGCUCACUGGUCGAGAGACGCUGCGCCGAAAAUGUCCGGGGCUCAAGCACGGAACCGAAGCUAUGGCAUUGCGUAAGCAAUGGGUAGGGGAGCGUUCUUAUGGGGAAGAAGCAUUACCGUAAGGAGAUGUGGACACAUAAGAAGUGAGAAUGCCGGUAUGAGUAUCGAAAAGAAAGGUGAGAAUCCUUUCCACCGAAAGCCCGAGGGUUCCUGAGCAACGAUCGUCGUCUCAGGGUAAGUCGGGACCUAAGCCGAGGCACAGACGCAUAGGCGAUGGACAACAGGUUGAAAUUCCUGUACCGGAUGGAGUCAUUUGAGCAAUGGAGUGACGCAGGAGGGCACAUGAUCGCGCGACUGGAAGAGCGCGUCCAAGUGCGUAUGUUGAAUCGGAGGCAAAUCCCCGAUUCUGAAAGCAGAGACAUGAUGGGGAGUUAUAAGCGAUUAUGACGAACUCAUGGAUCCCACACUGCCAAGAAAAACUUCUAGCGAGACGAAAUCCGCCCGUACCGUAAACCGACACAGGUAGGCGGGGAGAGAAUCCUAAGGUGCGCGGGACAACCCUCGUUAAGGAACUCGGCAAAUUGCAUCCGUAACUUCGGGAGAAGGAUGGCCCUGAGUAGGCGAAGUGCAGAAACGCACGGAACAGAAAAGGGUGGCAGAAAAGAGGCCCAAGCAACUGUUUACCAAAAACACAGGUGCCUGCGAAAGCGAAAGCUGAAGUAUAGGUGCUGACGCCUGCCCGGUGCUGGAAGGUUAAGGGGAGAGGUUAGCGCAAGCGAAGCUUUGAAUUGAAGCCCCAGUGAACGGCGGCCGUAACUAUAACGGUCCUAAGGUAGCGAAAUUCCUUGUCGGGUAAGUUCCGACCCGCACGAAUGGAGUAACGAUUUGGGCACUGUCUCAACAGGGGGCCCGGCGAAAUUGUAGUAUACGUGAAGAUGCGUAUUAACCCGCGACUGGACGGAGAGACCCCGUAGAGCUUUACUGUAGCUUGAUAUUGAUGCACGACAACGAAUGCACAGGAUAGGUGGGAGACUUAGAGACAGGGACUUCGGUUUCUGAGGAGUCGACGUUGGGAUACCACCCUUUCAUUGUUGGGCAUCUAACGGACGGCCGUGAACCGGCGUACGGACAGUGUCAGGCGGGCAGUUUGACUGGGGCGGUCGCCUCCUAAAAUGUAACGGAGGCGCCCAAAGGUUCCCUCAGGAUGGUUGGAAAUCAUCCGGCGAGUGUAAAGGCACAAGGGAGCUUGACUGCGAGACCGGCAGGUCGGGCAGAUACGAAAGUAGGGCUUAGUGAUCCGGCGGUAGAGAAUGGAAUUGCCGUCGCUUAACGGAUAAAAGUUACCUCGGGGAUAACAGGCUGAUCUCCCCCAAGAGUUCACAUCGACGGGGAGGUUUGGCACCUCGAUGUCGGCUCGUCACAUCCUGGGGCUGAAGCAGGUCCCAAGGGUUCGGCUGUUCGCCGAUUAAAGUGGCACGCGAGCUGGGUUCAGAACGUCGUGAGACAGUUCGGUCCCUAUCCAUCGUGGGCGUAGGAUAUUUGAGAGGCUUUGUCCCUAGUACGAGAGGACCGGGAUGAACGCACCUAUCGUGCACCUGUUGUCGUGCCAACGGCAUAGCAGGGUAGCGAAGUGCGGAUGAGAUAAACGCUGAAAGCAUCUAAGCGUGAAACUCGCCUCAAGAUAAGAUAUCCCAAACUUUAAGUUUGUAAGACCCCUGAAAGACGAUCAGGUUGAUAGGUCGGGAGUGUAAGCGCCGCAAGGCGUUCAGCGGACCGAUACUAAUAGGUCGAGGGCUUAUUCU
rnacentral:rRNA from 1 species